UCAGAAGAAAUGGAAGAAAGCAUAUGUAUUAAGAACCGAAGAUAUCCGAACGACAAGAAACGGAAAUACCCGAAGUGGAUGCAGUGCGAAACAUCACGUAGCUGGUGUUGCUAGGCGGUCUGUUAAAGAACGAUGGAAGGGAAAAAUUAAGAAGGAGGGGAGUGUUUAUAUAAAAGACGCGUCAUCAUUGGUCGACAAAUCAGUUGUGUCGGUCUAAAUCAUGAUGUAAGUAGAGAUGUAUUACAUUUGACAAUAUAGUGUUGCAGUCUCCAGUGAAAGUUAAAGAGAAAGGAUAGUUAUGAUUGUAUUGAUAUUUAUAUUUAAAUAAUCAAAAAGAGUGAUUUUGUCAGUUUUAUAAAAAUUGUUAAAUUAUUAUUAGUGAAAAUAUAAUAUUGAAGCUUUGAAUACAUUCACAGCAUUGAAGAAAUAAUAUAUAUAUUGUGUAUUUCAAGAAGGUCAUUCUGACAUUACUGUAUCCUGUGCUAUUUGUGUAUGUGUAACAUCUUUCGACAUGGAAGUUUUACCAUGUCCUGUAAAUGUGAACUUUAGUAACACAAGAGUUGGAACAGCUGAAGAAUUUGAUGGAGCCUGCCAGGCUCUAGCAAAACGAUUAGAAGUUGAAUUAAGAAGAGCGAAGCAUGUACAAUUAGCAUGUGGUGAAGUUUUGUUACCUGCUGAUCUUUUGCCAAGAAUAGCUAAAAAUGUACUUAGCAUGGCUGAAAAUGAACCUUGUGGUCUUAGAGGAUGUACAUUGUUUAUUAGUUUUGAAAUGGACAGUGUAUGUAGAAAAUUAUCAAAAAUACAAUGUGACCCUAAUACAGUAUCUACCUUUGAACUUUAUUUAACUUUGAAACAAGAUCAUACAUCUUGGCAUAUUUUGUUACCUCAGUUUCUAAAAAAUCUUACACGAGGAGGUACUAUUAUGAUCAGUAGAGAUUUUACUUUAGAGAAAAAAAAAUUAUAUAGAUCAUAUCAACAAGUAUAAUGAAUAAUCUGAUGAGAUCUGAGAAUCAUUGAUUAAUUUUUUUGAUAAACAUGAUUAUUCUAAGCUCUUCUAACUAUAGGUAAUCAAUAUAAGGAUCAGAAAAAUAAAAAUAAUAAAAAGAAGAUAAACAUAUGAGAUGCAAGAUAAAAUGGGAAGGGGCGAAAUUUAUGGAUUUUAACAAUUGUGAUAUUAAAAAAAAU